rnacentral:rRNA from 1 species
CGACCUUGCCUCGUGGUGGGGGAUAGCCGGCCCAACGGCCGGGUAAUACCGCAUAUGGUAGUUCUUUCGCAUGGGAGAACUAGCAAAGCUGAGUUGCGAGACUUGGCGCCACAGGGGGGCUCGCGGCCUAUCAGCUAGUUGGGGGGGUAAUGGCCCACCAAGGCGACGACGGGUAGCUGGUCUGAGAGGAUGGCCAGCCACAUUGGGACUGAGAGACGGCCCAG